rnacentral:rRNA from 1 species
GACGAACGCUGGCGGCGUGCUUAACACAUGCAAGUCGAACGGAAAGGCCCUGCUUUUGUGGGGUGCUCGAGUGGCGAACGGGUGAGUAACACGUGAGUAACCUGCCCUUGACUUUGGGAUAACUUCAGGAAACUGGGGCUAAUACCGGAUAGGAGCUCCUGCUGCAUGGUGGGGGUUGGAAAGUUUCGGCGGUUGGGGAUGGACUCGCGGCUUAUCAGCUUGUUGGUGGGGUAGUGGCUUACCAAGGCUUUGACGGGUAGCCGGCCUGAGAGGGUGACCGGCCACAUUGGGACUGAGAUACGGCCCAGACUCCUACGGGGGGCAGCAGUGGGGAAUAUUGCACAAUGGGCGGAAGCCUGAUGCAGCAACGCCGCGUGCGGGAUGACGGCCUUCGGGUUGUAAACCGCUUUCGCCUGUGACGAAGCGUGAGUGACGGUAAUGGGUAAAGAAGCACCGGCUAACUACGUGCCAGCAGCCGCGGUGAUACGUAGGGUGCGAGCGUUGUCCGGAUUUAUUGGGCGUAAAGGGCUCGUAGGUGGUUGAUCGCGUCGGAAGUGUAAUCUUGGGGCUUAACCCUGAGCGUGCUUUCGAUACGGGUUGACUUGAGGAAGGUAGGGGAGAAUGGAAUUCCUGGUGGAGCGGUGGAAUGCGCAGAUAUCAGGGGGAACACCAGUGGCGAAGGCGGUUCUCUGGGCCUUUCCUGACGCUGAGGAGCGAAAGCGUGGGGAGCGAACAGGCUUAGAUACCCUGGUAGUCCACGCUGUAAACGGUGGGUACUAGGUGUGGGGUCCAUUCCACGGGUUCCGUGCCGUAGCUAACGCUUUAAGUACCCCGCCUGGGGAGUACGGCCGCAAGGCUAAAACUCAAAGGAAUUGACGGGGCCCCGCACAAGCGGCGGAGCAUGCGGAUUAAUUCGAUGCAACGCGUAGAACCUUACCUGGGUUUGACAUGGAUCGGGAGUGCUCAGAGAUGGGUGUGCCUCUUUUGGGGUCGGUUCACAGGUGGUGCAUGGCUGUCGUCAGCUCGUGUCGUGAGAUGUUGGGUUAAGUCCCGCAACGAGCGCAACCCUUGUUCACUGUUGCCAGCACGUUAUGGUGGGGACUCAGUGGAGACCGCCGGGGUCAACUCGGAGGAAGGUGGGGAUGACGUCAAGUCAUCAUGCCCCUUAUGUCCAGGGCUUCACGCAUGCUACAAUGGCUGGUACAGAGAGUGGCGAGCCUGUGAGGGUGAGCGAAUCUCGGAAAGCCGGUCUCAGUUCGGAUUGGGGUCUGCAACUCGACCUCAUGAGGUCGGAGUCGCUAGUAAUCGCAGAUCAGCAACGCUGCGGUGAAUACGUUCCCGGG